rnacentral:misc_RNA from 1 species
GGCCACAUUGCUCCGAGCUUUGGCUUUAUUUCUUGCCACUUGAACUGAUCUAGGUCAAAGAUAUAUAAAUCAUUAUAAUAUCUCACUUCUCUAAGAGUGUCAUAGAAACCACCGAAAAGAAUAAUUUUGUGCUUGUAUAAAACCAUUCGAUGACCUGAACGUGGACUAGGACAUCCUUUCAAGUUUAAUUGUUCCCAUUGAUUCGUUUUCAGGUCCAAGACCCAUAAGUCCUUGUAGUGAUGGAAGCGCUCCUGAUUUGGAGAUGUGAAUUCACCACCAAAUAUAUAAAGAUAAUUCUUCCAGGCAACUGCCUGAUGAGCACUGCGAGGAGGAGGGCUAUUGGGGCUUGAAAUCCUCUUCCAUUCUUGCUUUUCCACAUCAUAACGGUAAAGGUCACCAUAUACAAAUGUCUUGUUACCAUUGUAGAAUUCACCUCCAUAAAGGAUUAACUCAGUGUCUUUCAAUGGAUUAACGUUUAGUGUACAAUUGGAUCGUGGGGAUGGUGCAGGGACAUUUUCAUCUACAUGGACUUCCUUCUUCUUGGCUUCCUCCUUUUGAAUGCUCAACAAAAUGGCGUCAAUGUCAUCUUCAGGAGAGAGUUUCUUCGUCUCUCUUCGAGUUCUCUUCUCCUCAGCUUUCGCCGUUUUCCUCUCUGUUUUCUCUUUGCCUUUUCCCGGUUUCUUUGUUUUCUUUCCCAUUUCUCUCUUCUCUCUCUCUCUCUCUCUAAACUCAGCUCAAGCGGUCAAGCCUACCUUCAGGUGCACUGUGUCACCGUGGUGCGGCGG